rnacentral:misc_RNA from 1 species
AAAGUACUUGAAUACGUUGUAAAUCCUUGAUGUUUUCAAAUGUCUCCUGUAUACAUGGUUGAAAGUCUAAAUUGAUGCAUCUGGUAAGGCAUGCAUACGUUUUACACUCCUAACAUUUUGGUUAAUCAACAAAUGAGGUUUCACUAUUACAUAUAUACGUAUGAAUGUCGAACGUAAAGUAUAUAUGUUUAUUUAUUAAGGACAAACAAAUAUAUGGAUGUUGAAAAUUUUGGUAAAAGUAUGUUAAUGAUAAAAGUAGUUCUUUUUUCAUCUUUGGUGCAAUUAUUAUAUAUGUAUAUUUUUUUUGUUGAACAUGAGUUGAGUGAUUUCAUUAACAAGGGAGAGAGAGAAUCUAGCAUUACAAUACCGUAACUCAAAACACAACCCAUAUGAGGCCUGAGGGUACAAUCCAUGAAGUGUUACAGUACAAUGGAAUUAUGGGAAUGGAAUUUCAGCUCCUAAUUGUGGGAGGGAUGCGCACCAAAUCUCUUCAUCCACAUCAGGCAGGAAGUGAGCUGGACUUGAAUCUCUCAUUUUGAAGAGAAACAUGGGCUUCUCCAUGCUUUGGGUUCCAAAUCUAGAUUCUUCACACACAAAAGGUUGGAGAAGUCUUGAAAGUUUUCUACUUUGGCUCAUUCUGAAGAUCUAAUCCAAGAAACCAGCAAACAGACCUCAGGUAGGGAAAGACCAAAAUUGAAGAAAAGCUCAGAUUUGGACACAAAAAAGGCAAACCUCUACAGAAAAACUCUCCAAAUCCAACCAAGAAACGAUUAAUCUAAAGUGAAAAGCAUUAAAAAACUAAAGAAAGAAGGGGGAUGGGAGGUAUCUCAUGAGGAAGAAACUUGAGAGCGAAAAUAGAGAGAAAAAUGCAGUGAGAACAAAUAUCUUUUGAUACAUUUUAAAAUGUUGUGAAACUGAAUUUGUUGGGGAAAACAAAUGUUUGCUGCUCCUCUGCUCCAUUUUUUCAGGGAACCUUGGAAUUCUUGCUCUUGCCCUCCCUCUUUCUCUCUUACUUUCAACUGUGGUCAUUCAGGGAGAUGCUAAACAUUGGCUAAAUGCCAGAUUUAAGUUUUGAUUAGUUUUCAAUGUUCAAACAUCUUCAUCUAAAGAUGCCAGCUCCUUUCAUUGCAUACAGCUAUUUAGGAGCCUUUUUUUUUUUU